AUCAACUUUCGAUGGUAGGAUAGAGGCCUACUAUGGUGGUGACGGGUGACGGAGAAUUAGGGUUCGAUUCCGGAGAGGGAGCCUGAGAAACGGCUACCACAUCCAAGGAAGGCAGCAGGCGCGCAAAUUACCCAAUCCCGACACGGGGAGGUAGUGACAAUAAAUAACAAUACGGGGCUCUUUCGGGUCUCGUAAUUGGAAUGAGUACAAUUUAAAUCCCUUAACGAGGAACAAUUGGAGGGCAAGUCUGGUGCCAGCAGCCGCGGUAAUUCCAGCUCCAAUAGCGUAUAUUAAAGUUGUUGCAGUUAAAAAGCUCGUAGUUGAAUUUCGGGAUUGACACAUCGGUCGUGCCUUAAGGGGUAUGAACUGGUGUAGCCAAUUUCUCACCUUCUGGAGAACCACGAUGCCCUUAAUUGGGUGUCGCGGGGAACCAGGACCUUUACUUUGAAAAAAUUAGAGUGUUUAAAGCAGGCAUUUUGCUUGAAUACAUUAGCAUGGAAUAAUGAAAUAGGACGUUUGAUUCUAUUUUGUUGGUUUCUAGGAUCGACGUAAUGAUUAAUAGGGAUAGUUGGGGGCAUUAGUAUUCAAUUGUCAGAGGUGGAAUUCUUGGAUUUAUUGAAGACUAACUACUGCGAAAGCAUUUGCCAAGGAUGUUUUCAUUAAUCAAGAACGAAAGUUAGGGGAUCGAAGACGAUCAGAUACCGUCGUAGUCUUAACCAUAAACUAUGCCGACUAGGGAUCGGAUGAUGUUAUUUUUAAUGACUCAUUCGGCGCCUUACGGGAAACCAAAGUGUUUGGGUUC
rnacentral:rRNA from 1 species